AGUAGCGAGAGGAAGGUGAGAAUCCUUCCGGCCGAAUAUCCAAGGUUUCCAGAGUAAAGCUGAUCUGCUCUGGGGAAGUCGGGACCUAAGGCGAGGCCGAGAGGCGUAGUCGAUGGACAACAGGUUGAAAUUCCUGUACUGUCAUGUAACAGAACUGUGGGGACGCAGGGAGGAAAGAAGAGCCGGGAAUGAAGAGACCGGUGCGAGCGAGGUAGGAGUCUGAAAGGCAAAACCGUCAGACAAUCCGAAGACGUGAUGCGCAGCGAACUGAAGUAGCGAAGCUUCGGCCCCUAACUGCCAAGAAAAGCCGCUAUUGUUUGCAUGACACCCGUACCGUAAACCGACACAGGUGGAUGAGGAGAGAAUCCUAAGGCCGACGGGAGGAGCAUUGUUAAGGAACUCGGCAAAAUGACCCCGUAACUUCGGGAGAAGGGGUGCCUCGAAAGAGGCCGCAGAGAAUUGGCCCAAGCAACUGUUUAGCAAAAACACAGGUCUAUGCAAAACCGAAAGGUGAGGUAUAUUGGCUGACGCCUGCCCGGUGCUGGAAGGUUAAGAGGAGAGCUUAGCGCAAGCGAAGGUUUGAAUUUAAGCCCCAGUAAACGGCGGCCGUAACGAUAACGGUCCUAAGGUAGCGAAAUUCCUUGUCGGGUAAGUUCCGACCCGCACGAAAGGCGUAAUGAUUUGGGCGCUGUCUCGACAAUGCACCCGGUGAAAUUGAAGUACCAGUGAAGAUGCUGGUUACCCGCGCCAGGACGGAAAGACCCCAUGGAGCUUUACUCUAGCUUGAUACUGGGAUUCGGUAUUGUCUGUACAGGAUAGGUGGGAGGCUAUGAACCGUGGACGCCAGUCUGCGGGGAGCCGCUGUUGGGAUACCACCCUUACAAUACUGGAUUUCUAACCUGCCGCCAUGACCUGGCGGAGGGACAAUGUCUGGUGGGGAGUUUGACUGGGGCGGUCGCCUCCGAAAGAGUAUCGGAGGCGCUCAAAGGUCCUCUCAGGAUGGACGGAAACCAUCCGAAGAGUGCAAAGGCAUAAGAGGGCUUGACUGUGACACCGACGGGUGGAGCAGGUACGAAAGUAGGACUUAGUGAUCCGGUGGUAGAAAGUGGGAUUGCCAUCGCCCAACGGAUAAAAGCUACCCUGGGAUAACAGGCUUAUCACUCCCAAGAGUUCACAUCGACGGAGUGGUUUGGCACCUCGAUGUCGGCUCAUCGCAUCCUGGGGCUGUAGCAGGUCCCAAGGGUUGGGCUGUUCGCCCAUUAAAGCGGUACGCGAGCUGGGUUCAGAACGUCG
rnacentral:rRNA from 1 species